GACGAACGCUGGCGGCAUGCCUAACACAUGCCAGUCGAACGGAGUGGCGAACGGGUGAGUAACACGUGGGUGAUCUGCCUUUCACUUCGGGAUAAGCUUGGGAAACUGGGUCUAAUCCCGGAACGUGCAAGAUGAGCUCGCGGCCGAUCAGCUUGUUGGUGGGGGAAUGGCCUACCAAGGCGUCGAAGGGUAGCAGGCCUGAGAGGGUGUACGGCAACAUUGGGACUGAGAUACGGCCCAGACUCUAACGGGAGGCAGCAGUGGGGAAUAGUGUACAAUGGGCGGAAGCCUGAUGCAGCGACGCAGCGGGGGGGAUGAAGGCCUUCGGGUUGUAAACUCCUGUCGACAGGGACGCGGUACCUGUAUAAGAAGCACCAGCUAACUACGUGCCAGCAGCCGCGGUAAUUC
rnacentral:rRNA from 1 species